rnacentral:rRNA from 1 species
UACGUAGGGCGCAAGCGUUGUCCGGAAUUAUUGGGCGUAAAGAGCUCGUAGGCGGUCUGUUGCGUCUGCCGUGAAAACCCGAGGCUUAACCUCGGGCCUGCGGUGGAUACGGGCGGGCUAGAGGUAGGUAGGGGAGAAUGGAAUUCCCGGUGUAGCGGUGAAAUGCGCAGAUAUCGGGAGGAACACCGGUGGCGAAGGCGGUGCUCUGGGCCUUACCUGACGCUGAGGAGCGAAAGCGUGGGGAGCGAACAGG